UUGAUGGGCACAACACAAAUGGAGAGAAAGUUGGUAGAUAGGCAUGGAGGCUGAAACAGUAUGCAGCAAAGUCGGUCUCCCAACUUGAGAAAGCAUUCUCCAUUUAAUUUCCAUCCAUCAAGCCUUCUAUUAACUUCAGUGUGCAAAGAUGAAAAAUCCACAGCGGUAGGCCUUGUAGCAGUCAUGAAAGCACCAAAACAAGUAUAACACUCAUAAUAUUUUUCAUUGCUAGCAUGGUCAUAUAUCAA
rnacentral:lncRNA from 1 species